rnacentral:rRNA from 1 species
GAUGAACGCUGGCGGCGUGCCUAACACAUGCAAGUCGAGCGAGAAGUUUGAAAAAUGAGUUUUCGAACAAGUGAUUCAAACGGAAAGCGGCGGACGGGUGAGUAACGCGUAGGCAACCUGCCCCGUGCAGAGGGACAGCCUCGGGAAACCGGGAUUAAGACCUCAUGAUAUCGGGUUAUCACAUGGUAAUCCGGUCAAAGAUUUAUCGGCAUGGGAUGGGCCUGCGUCUGAUUAGCUGGUUGGUGGGGUAACGGCCUACCAAGGCGACGAUCAGUAGCAGAACUGAGAGGUUCAUCUGCCACAUUGGAACUGAGACACGGUCCAAACUCCUACGGGAGGCAGCAGUGAGGAAUAUUGCACAAUGGGCGAGAGCCUGAUGCAGCAACGCCGCGUGAGCGAAGAAGGCCUUUGGGUCGUAAAGCUCUGUCCUUGGGGAAGAAACAAAUGACGGUACCCUUGGAGGAAGCCCCGGCUAACUACGUGCCAGCAGCCGCGGUAAAACG